rnacentral:rRNA from 1 species
AAACGAUGGGUGUUAAACGUCGGGGAUUUAAUCUCGGUGUUGUAGUUAACACAUUAAACACCCUGCCUGGGUAGUACAUUCGCAAGAAUGAAACUCAAACGGAAUUGACGGGGACCCGCACAAGUGGUGGAGCAUGUUGUUUAAUUCGACGAUACACGUAGAACCUUACCUAGACUUGACAUCCUUGGCGAAGUUAUAGAAAUAUAAUGGAGGUUAACUGAGAGACAGGUGGUGCAUGGUUGUCGUCAGCUCGUGUCGUGAGAUGUUGGGUUAAGUCCCGCAACGAGCGCAACCCUUAUCGUUAGUUAUUUUGUCUAACGAGACUGCCAACGCAAGUUGGAGGAAGGUGGGGAUGACGUCAAAUCAUCAUGCCCCUUAUGUCUAGGGCCACAAACGUGCUACAAUGGUCGGUACAAACAGUCGCUAAUUCGUAAGAUAGAGCUAAUCUGUAAAGCCGAUCUCAGUUCGGAUAGAGGGCUGAAAUUCGCCCUCUUGAAGUUGGAAUCACUAGUAAUCGCGAAUCAGCCAUGUCGCGGUGAAUACGUUCUCGGGUCUUGUACACACCGCCCC